rnacentral:rRNA from 1 species
UACGGAAGGCAGCAGUGGGGAAUAUUGCACAAUGGGCGCAAGCCUGAUGCAGCCAUGCCGCGUGUAUGAAGAAGGCCUUCGGGUUGUAAAGUACUUUCAGUCGUGAGGAAGGUGUUAAGGUUAAUAACCUUAGCAAUUGACGUUAGCGACAGAAGAAGCACCGGCUAACUCCGUGCCAGCAGCCGCGGUAAUACGGAGGGUGCGAGCGUUAAUCGGAAUUACUGGGCGUAAAGGGCACGCAGGCGGUUAAUUAAGUUGGAUGUGAAAUCCCCGGGCUUAACCUGGGAAUGGCAUUCAAGACUGGUUAGCUAGAGUCUUGUAGAGGGGGUAGAAUUCCAUGUGUAGCGGUGAAAUGCGUAGAGAUGUGGAGGAAUACCGGUGGCGAAGGCGGCCCCUGGACAAAGGCUGACGCUCAUGUGCGAAAGCGUGGGGAGCAAACAGGAUUAGAUACC